AACGAACGCUGGCGGCAGGCUUAACACAUGCAAGUCGAACGGAUGUAGCAAUACAUUAGUGGCGCACGGGAGAGUAACACGUGGGAAUCUACCUUUUGGUUCGGAAUAACGUCGGGAAACUGACGCUAAUACUGGAUAAGCCCUACGGGGGAAAGAUUUAUCGCCAAAAGAUGAGCCCGCGCUAGAUUAGCUUGUUGGUGAGGUAAUGGCUCACCAAGGCUACGAUCUAUAGCUGGUCUGAGAGGAUGACCAGCCUCACUGGGACUGAGACACGGCCCAGACACCUACGGGAGGCAG
rnacentral:rRNA from 1 species